rnacentral:lncRNA from 1 species
CCGGCCUCCGGAACUGUAGGAUGAUAGAUUGCUGUUGAUUUGGGCUGCUAAGUUUGUGGCAGCUUGUUACAGCAGCCACAGGAAACUCAUACAGACCUAAGGACGGACAGCAAGCACGAGGACGAUGAAAAACAUAGGAUGAAAGGGCUGACCCAGAAAGACAUUCCCCAAGCUGUCUUUCAGCUCUGUUGUUCUGUAGUUUUUAUCCUCCUACAAACCAGGAGCUGAGAGCACCAAGCCCUGUGUUUGAAGAAGCGUGCUUUCCAGAAGAAGACUACCGCAUGCGGUGCCCUCCUCUAGGCACCGAAGAUGCGGCAGGGAACAAAAACUCCAAACCCCUCCCCUCAUGGAGCUAAGAUUCUAAAAGGGGGAGACAACAGUAUAGAAACGGACAAACCAGCAAACAUGAGGAAGCCCCUGAAGGAUCUUGGGCAAGAGAGUGACGUGAUCAAUCAUAGCUUUUAGAAGAGGGGCGGCCUGGAGGAUGGGCUCUGCUGUGGAGAGGAGGGCAUGCUCCAUGUGCAGGAGGUGGUUGAAGCCACGAGAGUGAAUGAGACCACCCAGGAGGGGACAGGGUGUGAAGCGAAGAGGGAGCCUGAGGGGACAGCAGCCUGGAGAGGGUGAGGAAGAGGAGUGGUAAAGGAGGGGGGCUUCUCUGUGACCCCCAACCCUGGUGCACCUGGCCUCAGCCUGAUGUCCAUGCCCUCCCUCUCCCUUCCUCUCAGUGGGCUGCCUCAAUCUCCCCAAUUGCUGGAACCUGGAAGGCACCUCGCCCAGCCCCACCCCCUCCUCAGCAUCCAGCUUCAGCCUGGACACCCCCGGAGACCAGAAGGGGGAGCCCACU